rnacentral:tRNA from 1 species
GUGACUGUAGCUCAGCUGGUAGAGCCCCGGAUUGUGACUCCGGUGGUCGUGGGUUCAAAUCCCAUCAGUCACCCCA